rnacentral:rRNA from 1 species
AUUGAACGCUGGCGGCAGGCCUAACACAUGCAAGUCGAGCGGAUGAAGGGAGCUUGCUCCUGGAUUCAGCGGCGGACGGGUGAGUAAUGCCUAGGAAUCUGCCUGGUAGUGGGGGAUAACGUCCGGAAACGGGCGCUAAUACCGCAUACGUCCUGAGGGAGAAAGUGGGGGAUCUUCGGACCUCACGCUAUCAGAUGAGCCUAGGUCGGAUUAGCUAGUUGGUGGGGUAAAGGCCUACCAAGGCGACGAUCCGUAACUGGUCUGAGGGGAUGAUCAGUCACACUGGAACUGAGACACGGUCCAGACUCCUACGGGGGGCAGCAGUGGGGAAUUUUGGACAAUGGGCGAAAGCCUGAUCCAGCCAUGCCGCGUGUGUGAAGAAGGUCUUCGGUUUGUAAAGCACUUUAUGUUGGGAGGAAGGGCAGUAAGUUAAUACCUUGCUGUUUUGCCGUUACCAACAGAAUAAGCACCGGCUACCUUCGC